AACGAACGCUGGCGGCAGGCCUAACACAUGCAAGUCGAGCGGACAUCUUCGGAUGUUAGCGGCGGACGGGUGAGUAACGCGUGGGGACGCGCCCUUUGCUUCGGCCUUGCCUCGGGGAACUGGGAGUAAUACCUGGUGUACCCUUCGGGGAGUAGGUUUAUUGGCAAAGGAUCGUCCCGCGUUGGAUUAUGUAGUUGGUGCGGUAAUCGCCUCCCAUGCUGACGAUCCAUAGCUGGUUUGAGAGGCUGAGCAGCCACACUGGGACUGAGACACGGCCCAGACUCCUACGGGAGGCAGCAGUGUGGAAUCUUAGACGAGGGAGGAAGCCCUGAUCAAGCCGUGCCGCGGGAGAGAUGAAGGCCUUAGGGUUGUAAAGCUCUUUCACCGGGGAAGAUAAUGACGGUACCCGGAGAAGAAGCCCCGGCUAACUCCGUG
rnacentral:rRNA from 1 species